AGAGUUUGAUCCUGGCUCAGGAUGAACGCUAGCGGCGUGCCUUAUGCAUGCAAGUCGAACGGUCUUAAGCAAUUAAGAUAGUGGCGAACGGGUGAGUAACGCGUAAGUAACCUACCUCUAAGUGGGGGAUAGCUUCGGGAAACUGAAGGUAAUACCGCAUGUGGUGGGCCGACAUAUGUUGGUUCACUAAAGCCGUAAGGCGCUUGGUGAGGGGCUUGCGUCCGAUUAGCUAGUUGGUGGGGUAAUGGCCUACCAAGGCUUCGAUCGGUAGCUGGUCUGAGAGGAUGAUCAGCCACACUGGGACUGAGACACGGCCCAGACUCCUACGGGAGGCAGCAGCAAGGAAUCUUGGGCAAUGGGCGAAAGCCUGACCCAGCAACGCCGCGUGAGGGAUGAAGGCUUUCGGGUUGUAAACCUCUUUUCAUAGGGAAGAAUAAUGACGGUACCUGUGGAAUAAGCUUCGGCUAACUACGUGCCAGCAGCCGCGGUAAUACGUAGGAAGCAAGCGUUAUCCGGAUUUAUUGGGCGUAAAGUGAGCGUAGGUGGUCUUUCAAGUUGGAUGUGAAAUUUCCCGGCUUAACCGGGACGAGUCAUUCAAUACUGUUGGACUAGAGUACAGCAGGAGAAAACGGAAUUCCCGGUGUAGUGGUAAAAUGCGUAGAUAUCGGGAGGAACACCAGAGGCGAAGGCGGUUUUCUAGGUUGUCACUGACACUGAGGCUCGAAAGCGUGGGGAGCGAACAGAAUUAGAUACUCUGGUAGUCCACGCCUUAAACUAUGGACACUAGGUAUAGGGAGUAUCGACCCUCUCUGUGCCGAAGCUAACGCUUUAAGUGUCCCGCCUGGGGAGUACGGUCGCAAGGCUAAAACUCAAAGGAAUUGACGGGGGCCCGCACAAGCAGCGGAGCGUGUGGUUUAAUUCGAU
rnacentral:rRNA from 1 species